rnacentral:rRNA from 1 species
UACGUAGGUCGCAAGCGUUGUCCGGAUUUACUGGGCGUAAAGAGCGCGCAGGCGGCUGGUCAAGUCCGAUGUGAAAUCUCCCGGCUCAACUGGGAAACAGCAUCGGAAACUGAUCGGCUUGAAGAUGGGAGAGGGAUGUGGAAUUCCAGGUGUAGCGGUGAAAUGCGUAGAUAUCUGGAGGAACACCGGUGGCGAAGGCGACAUCCUGGACCGGUAUUGACGCUGAGGCGCGAAAGCCAGGGGAGCAAACGGG